rnacentral:rRNA from 1 species
UACGUAGGGGGCAAGCGUUGUUCGGAAUUACUGGGCGUAAAGCGCGCGUAGGCGGUUUGAAAAGUCAGAUGUGAAAGGCCCGGGCUCAACUUGGGAACUGCAUUUGAUACUGUCAGACUAGAGUACAGAAGAGGUGACUGGAAUUCCCAGUGUAGCGGUGAAAUGCGUAGAUAUUGGGAGGAACACCAGAUGCGAAGGCGGGUCACUGGGCUGAUACUGACGCUGAAGUGCGAAAGCCAGGGGAGCGAACGGG